UUUUUUUCCCCUUUUUUUUUUCAUCCCGCUGCCCCUGUGCCAGUUAAUUUAAAUGUAUCUGUUCAAGUGGAGAUAAUCCAUGCAAAUCAGAGGCACUGGCUCUCAGUGCUUGAUUCACAAAGAGAACUCAGCUUCAGGAGGUCACUCGUUCACAGCUGCUCCUCCCAUUAUAUUUUUCCCUUAUUGCAGAACUGCUGCAUGUAUACAGUGACUGAAAGGACUCAAUUUACUGCAACUGCUGCCUGGUUUUACUUACAACUUUCUUUAAAGGGGGACUUACCUUCUAUCUGUCUUACUAAGGUGAAGGUGCACCAGGGACAUCACCAAAAGCUGGGCACUAUGAGACCUAAUCUUUGGUAGGAGCCCAUGAGGGAUUGGAGGUCCUACUGUGACAGACUUCAUUUGGCUUCUUCUUCGUUGCUGUUUCCUUUCCUCAAAGGAUUUCUAAUGAAGUUGAGAUGAAGAUUCUGCUGCAUAGACAGCAAAAAGUGCUCAAGGAGGUUUACGCCUCCAGCAUGCUGCAAAGUCAUCUCUCCCACGGACCUAGGGUCUGAUAGCU